UCGGCCCUACCGACAUAUUGCAUGUAGACUAUGCUACUGCUUAAAGGUGUUUGUCAACAGUUGGACGGAAUGCAAAGGAGGUUCAUCUGGGGAUGGAGAAUGGGGUGGGGAAGGUUAGCCAAGUGCACUACAGAAAACACGGGCUUUAGCGGCGGUCAGUGAAACCGCCACUAAACUUUAAUUGCAAAAAAAUCACGUUUCGCCCUUUAACGCGGUUUAAUUCCCAUUUCCCUCACAUUUCUGUAAACCCUCAACUUCCCUUCCUCUCAUUUGCACCGCCUCAAUGUUCCCCUCUUUUGCAAUGUUUCUCCCACCGCCCAGCCUCUGACCCAUCCCUAACCUCUAACCCAUCGAUCUCUGUUUCGCCCUAGCCCCUAAGAGGCAUGGAGUAUAUCGAUGAGCCAUGCCACCCAUUCACCUUCACUUCCCGCCGUCGAUCUAUUCCACCGCCAUCGGAUUCACCUCAUUCUCGCCGGGGUAGAAAGGGGGCGUUGACGGAAGCUUAUUUAAUUUGUACUGCUUCCCGCACCGGCAUCACUCUUCUCAAGCUUUAACUAUUGUCUGAGUCUGAUUGUAUUUCUCUAGUGACAUAUUUGUUUCUUCUUCUUUCUUUGUUAGGGUUUGUCACCCAAAUUUUUAGCUUUUCAAUUUUUGGUUUAUUAUGAUAUUUAUUUGAUUAUGUUGGGUUUUUGUAAAAGUGACUAAGAAGAACAUACAAGUUGUGCUUGAGAGCAUCAUAUCUGAUUUGGCAUUCCAUUUUUGUUGUUAAGGUCCUUGUUGAGUAGCAAUCUCUUUCACUGAUUUGUUCUCCCUCAAAUGGAAUAGAAACUUUUUGCUGGAAUUUGUAUGUGCUGUAUUGGGUAUGAAAGAAUGGUACAGUUCAAGAAUUGGACAAGAGAAGAAUUGGACCUGAAUUUGAAAAUGUGUUAAUAAUUAGUACUCUUAUUUCACCACAAUAUUGAAUAUAUUGGCUAUCAUAUUUGAUGUGUUAGGAUGUGUAUGGUAAAUUUAAGGCAUGGGUGCCUGUUAGGCUUGAUGAUUGUAAUUAAGUAAUUAGUAACAUUAGUUUGUUGUUAGUGAUAGUAGUAAAGCUAGUUACAGUUAAGUCAGAGUUGGUUAUUUAACUCUUGUACUAUAUAUACUGUAUUACUUAAUUCAAAGUAAGUUUCUAGUAUUUUUUACUAGUUGCUUUUAGCAGGAUAAGUUUUUUUUUCACUUAACAUAUUUUGUGUUAGAAUAAUGAUCGAUGUGAUGACAUAUUUUUCAGAUAUUCGUUCAAAAAGUAUAAGUAGUCAGCUUAUUGUUGCCACGGUACUAUCACUCAUUAGUGCUGCCAAUUUUACUAUGUGCAGGGAUCUACAAGAUUUGGCUUCUUCCCAACAGAACCAUGUAAAGUGCUCAUGUUGUAAGAAGCUAAGUUGUGGAUUUUGAACAACAACUUCAGGAUUGAUAGCCUUGAAGGUACAACAUCUUUGGUUUUGUAGGAUGAGAAAGAUAGGCAUAUAUAGAGGCUAAGGACAGAGGUGAGCAAGCUGCACAAGGAGAAGAUGCAUUGAGUUGAACUAGCGGAAGAGUUUGGAGCUUGGGAGGAGAACUCAACCAUCAAUAGUUUGGGUAGUAUUGAGUUGAACUAGCGCAAGCAGCUGAUUCUAUGGUAUAGUUUUCCCAUAUAUCUGAUUUGUCAUACCUUGGGCCUUAUCCAUCAGCUUUAUUUCUCUUUGGCUUGUUGGUAAUAUUAGGUUCAUCUUUGCCAAUAAAUGUACACAUUUGGAUUCCAAGCAGCGCGAGUAAGUUGCUAUGAUUGUCUUUGCUCAUUCUUAAUGUAAAUCUCAUGUCUCAUUUGAGUUUAUGCUUUAUUCAGUUACUAGGGUAACCACUUCCCUUGUUCAAGGUUCCUAUGGAUGCUUUCAUGAUCUCACCAAUAGGUCUCCUUAUCUGGUAGAGUAGCAAGAGCCUUGCCUCGUCCGCCCAGGUGUCAAUCAAGUUUUUUUUCCUUUCUCCUUUAAUAGUUGUAUGAAUGUCUUGGUGUCACUAAAAAUUUAAUACUUCUUUUAAUCAUCUUAUGUGUGCUUGUUGCCUGUGUGUUCUUCUAGAUCUUUCCUGGUACAUUCCCUGAGAAUUAUGAGCCUCCUUCUGGAUUAUACUAUGAAGUUAAUGACAACUCACCAAUAGUUCAAGUAUUAUUAUAAGAACUUGUUAAUUUUUCUAUCACAUUUUUUUUUGUUUUCUGCUCUGCUAAAUAGUACUUACUUUGUGCUGAGGGACCACAUGGUUUGAUUACAAUGUCCUAGAUCGAGUGAAUGACUUUGUUACAUGAUUUCAUUUUUUGGUUGUGUCCUAGGUGAAUUUGAUAUGAUAUUAAUUGGUAUUUUGUUAACGGAUUAUGUUACAUAUACAGAAUUUAGGCUGGUGACGGAUUAUGAAAGAGGAGCAGAGAACUGAGAUCUAUCUCUGACUCUCUGUAAUGUUUGGAUUUGAUUCCUUAGUGAUCUCUACAGAGAGUUCUUGAGAUGGGGAUAUUCAUCAAACCCACACAUUCAGAAGGUAUAUACACAAGGUUGGGUCUUUAUGAUUAUUAUUGUCAUUUUAAGCCGCAAAUCCUCACUAUAGUAGUUAUGCUCAAAGCUAUGGUGGUGGUUAUGCUCCAGAGCAAAGAAAGAGAUUAGAAAAGUAUACAAUACAAGGAUAUGUGAUUGAUAAUUAUAAAAGCUUUUGACCAGGUAGCUUUUCUCUGCUCCCUGAUUCUCAUUGUUUGAUAUGGCUUAAAUGCAGAGUAACAUGGCUAUAAGGGAAUGCAUGUACUUGUAGAAUAUUUUCCUGUGUUUAUUCUGAAUGAAACUGUCCUUGCAUUUUGAGUUUAA